rnacentral:lncRNA from 1 species
GUGGUUAGACUAAGGACUGCUGCUUUUUUUUUUUUCCUGUUAUCUGUUUGACCAGUUAUAAAUUUGAAACAUUAAUCACGGGAAAAGGCCAUUUGCCACAUAGCAGAAAGAGCUGUCACAUAGCAGUGCAAAAAGCAAAGAGGAAAAGGGAGAUCCAAAAUGACGCAAUUAAACUUUGCGUUAAGCGCUCCUCUUCGGAAUGUCUCUGAUGUGACUUCAGUUACAGACGCGGCCGAGGAUGAAAAUGUGAGACCAGUGAGGAACCCUGAAGUGUUUCAAAACUAGGCUGUGUCGAGAUGUAUCAGUAAAAGGAAGAGACAACCCACAGAAAUGCUAUUCGACUACAUGCAUUCUCCUAAUUCAAGAACUGCCUUUCGAACUUUCAGCUAAUGCCCCGCUAUGGCAGCUCCUCCGCGUGGAAAGGCUGGACACGUGUUGGCAACACACGCAUGACCAGGUGCAGGCACUGGACCUAGAAACUUGGUGGAGCAUUCACCCACAGACUCUUCACACAACAGCUGUCUGUGCCUUGAAACCUGCUUUCCCCGACCCCAGGCCACUCAGAGGAGAAGCUCUCAACGUGUCUGCUGCAGGGUACCUGGCAGAGUUCCCGAACAGCAACAGUGCAAAAGCUGCCCCCUCUUCUAGUCCAUAAGAUUUGAUGCAGACAAGCUCUGCAGUCCAAGUUUCAAGGAGAUCUAGGACGGGGACUCUUGGUGGCAAAUUCUGAGCUACUUUGAAUCACAAAACGUACUGCAUUGUCCUCCAGGCACAUUUAGUCCUGCUAUCGAUUUAAGAACUGGAGAAAGAGGAAGGGAGCAUCUUAUCCCUCUCUUCACGAAGAGGAAACAGUCCCAAGAUUUCAUUGUAUAUCUCUGUAUAAAAGGUCUCUUGCGGGGACGCCUGGGUGGCUCAGUUGGUUAAGCAUCUGCCUUCAGCUCAGGUCAUGAUUCUGGAGCCCUGGGAUCAAGCCCCACAUGGGUCUCCCUGCUUGGUGGGGAGUCUGCUUCUCUCUCUCUCUCUCUGCCGCUCCCCCCCGCCCGCUCCUGCUCUCUCUCUCUCUCUCUCUCUCGCUCACUCUCUCAAAUAAAUAAAUAAAAUCUUUU